CGUGAUGGCACAGGCUUACAACCAUGCCUCACCCGAAGCAAGGACAUACCAAAGGAACCCCCAUAUGGUUAACCCCUAUCAACAAAUGGGAAGUGGAAGUCAAGUUCUACCAAGUGAGGAGAUAUUGGCCAUUCAGACACCCAUUGCAUCAUCUCCUGCCUCAUUUAGCUACUCGCUAAGUCACCAAACGUAUCUGUCUCUUGUAACAGGAAGGAUUUUUACUCUCAGCAAGCCCAUUACAAUAAGAGGGAUAAAAGUUCGUAUCAAGAUAACCAGGGGUGAACGUACCGUCGACUAUUAUGACUAUGGGGCCAAGCCUCACUCUUUCAAAGUGGAGGACUAGGUACUAAAGGAAAUGCUAUUAUAAGAAGGCAUACACAUUACAAAUGUUUUGACUCUCAACCGCUUGAGAUCUUUUGUCACACAAGCCAUUCGACAAAUAUUUAAAGAAGAGGGAAUUCAGACAACUUCUUCUGAGUCUUUUGCGUUUCUAGCAUUGGAACACUUGGUCUACGCUGACCUACCCUUAUACUCCAACUCAGAGCUUCAACAUGCGUACUUUGACAUAAAGUAUGUGAUACUAAGUGUUACAACCAACAUGGUUCACAUAUCAAAAGCAUGGAUCCCUUCAUGCAUAGC
rnacentral:lncRNA from 1 species